GACGUAGGGUGCAAGCGUUAAUCGGAAUUACUGGGCGUAAAGAGCUCGUAGGCGGUUUGUCGCGUCUGCUGUGAAAUCCCGAGGCUCAACCUCGGGUCUGCAGUGGGUACGGGCAGACUGGAGUGCGGUAGGGGAGAAUGGAAUUCCUGGUGUAGCGGUGGAAUGCGCAGAUAUCAGGAGGAACACCGAUGGCGAAGGCAGUUCUCUGGGCCGUAACUGACGCUGAGGAGCGAAAGCGUGGGGAGCGAACAGG
rnacentral:rRNA from 1 species